rnacentral:rRNA from 1 species
GACGAACGCUGGCGGCGUGCUUAACACAUGCAAGUCGAACGGAAAGGCCCCUUUGGGGGUACUCGAGUGGCGAACGGGCGAGUAACACGUGAGUAACUUGCCCUCGCCUUCGGGAUAACUUCAGGAAACUGGGGCUAAUACCGGCUAGGAAUCAUCGCCGCCUGGUGGGGGUUGGAAAGAUACGGGGGGUUUGGAUGGACUCGCGGCUUAUUUGCUUGUUGGUGGGGUAGUGGCUUACCAAGGCAUUGACGGGUAGCCGGCCUGGGUGGGCGACCGGCCACAAUGGGACUGGGGUACGGGCCAGACUCCUACAGGGGGCAGCAGGGGGGAAUAUUGCACAAUGGGGGGGAGCCUGAUGCAGCAACGCCGCGGGCGGGAUGACGGCCUUCGGGUUGUAAACCGCUUUCAGCAGGGGCGGAGCUGGUAGUGACGGUACCUGCAGAAGAAGCACCGGCUAACUACGUG